GCUGCCUUGCCAGGGAAGGAGGCAGAGGGAUUUUGGGGGCUGUCUCCUCCCUUGGGGUGGGUGUUCCCAGGGAGAUUUGGGGUUGGAAACCCCUGGCAGUUGGGCAGCAGGUUCUUCUUUCCCCCCAGACCCCUGUGCUGGGGCUGCCUCGAGCCUGGAGGGAGAGCACUGAAAAGUGCUGAUGACUGGAGCAGGUAGGUCCUAAAAUCAGCGUUUUUAGGGGAAAAAAAGUCUUGCUAGAGCUUCCACUUUGAGGCCCUGCCAGUCCUGAGCAGGCACAACACAUCAGGGCAAGCCCCAGCAGCACAGCUCACAUGGACAUGCUCCUGCUUGUAUUUGGGAAUAAGGCAAGGGCUUAUUUCCCCUAAAAGUACUUAAUUCUAAUUAAUUGCUUCAGCUCUGAUAGGCAGCUGCUCAUAUAAAUUUAAUUGCCCAACAAGGGGUAUAAUUGGGUGCAUGUGAGCUGAGAACCUGGAAGUAACUCCAGGUACUGGAAUUAAGCAUCUCAUGGCUCAGGCAGGAUAUAAAAGUUAUAUCCUGGCUGGAACACCAGCUCCAUGGGAAACAGAAACCUGGAAAUGAAAGGAUGGGUCCAAAUGUGCUCCAGCUGUAGGACAAGUGGAGGGGAGAGGUUUGGAUGGGGCUGUGCUCAGGGGUCCCACGGGAGCAGCUCCUGCUCCUGGGAAAGGCCUGGCUGUUGGAUGAGAGAGGUUUAGUGAGUCUGUGCCUGGCAGGAAGAAGAGCAGGGAGAUCAUAGGGGAAAUCCCACAGCGUAUUCCAGUCUGGAUGAUUCCCCAAAAGGCAGGUGCUUGGGUGGGAGCAGGUCUGGCUGCAGCAGCCGGAGGUUUUCCAUCGGGGUGGGAAGUGCUGGAGGUCGUGGUGUGGGUGGAGAGGCGGUUUCAGGGAGAUCAGCUCUGCCAGGACCCAGGCAAUGCAUCACAUCUCUUCUGGGAUAACCGGUGGGAUGGUAUUCCUGGAUGGAGCUGGGUCUGCUCCAGGUGCUCUCUUCCGUGCUGCUCCUGCACAGGGAUGGACUGGGAACACCAGUGGGACCCAGAGCCAGAGGGAACCGGAGCCACAGCCCUGUGUGGGGGUGUCCAAGGAGAAAUGACCCCGGAGAACCAACUGUCCCGAGUCUUCCUCAGUGCCAGCACGUCCAAAUGCAUCUCAGCCACAGUGAUUUACUUCCCAUCCCCAUCCCUGAAGCUCGUGUCCACCUCCAGCCAGCCUGGCUGCCACAGCUCCAGAGAAGUGACGCUCCUGGAAGAUGGGAUCCAUCCAGGAGCACCAGGACACGGAACCAAGUAUUUUCCAGUGGGACAGGCAGGAACACGGAAUCUUCCCCCCCCCACCUCGUGGCCACCUUUCACUGGAGGGGUGGGACAGGUGAGGAAUUCAGGGCCAUCCGUGUCUGACCCUGCCUGGUGGCCGGAUUUGGGGCAGAGCCCCCUCCUGAGGCAGCAGCAGCCCUGACCACGCUGUCCUUUUUCCCCCCUGUCCCUGUGUGACGUCUGCUGCCCGGGCAAAUCAGAUCCCUGCUGCAUCCCAUCGUUUCCUAGGCAACAGGAAGGAAUCCGAGGAGCAAAAGCCACCCGGCAGGGCUGAGGCUGGGGGACAGCCAGGUCCUGCUGGGCCCACCUGGCCAGGAGAGCCCCGGGGGUUCCUGGCACUGCCCUGAGCACUGGGCAUCCCUGCUGGUCCGGACUCAUCCCACAGUGGACCAGGAUGCCAAGGCUGAGCUCGGGGCCCCUGCACUGGCUGCACCCUGGUGCUGGUGGUGGCCACGGUGGGCGGCUCGGGACGGAGCAGGGACACGCACGAGCCCAGCAGCCACGUGGCCCCAAAAUCUGGGACAGCUCCAUGGGGAGGCAACAGAGAUGUGAGAAACCAGCCCAGGGUCUUUGGUGGCCCCCGGAGAUGGGGUUGGGAAUGGGAUCACCUUGCUCAGAUCCCAACCCCCCCCUCGCCUGGUGCUGGGCACCGAGGGCUGGCACUGCCAUGCCGGGGCCGAUCUCCUCCGGCAGGGAGGGGAUGUGGGAAGGAGGGGAUGUGGGAAGGAGGGGAUGUGGGAAGGAGGGGAUGUGGGAAGGAGCUUUUCCCGUUACCCAGCUGCCUUUCCGGCUGCACGGCUCCCAGCUCUGCAAUGCAGCUCACACAGCUCGUCUGCCGUGUGUGAAUCCCAUCAAUAUUUCAUGGAGCUGCUUCCUCCAGGGGAAGGGCUGCUAUCAGCCCUGGCUUUCUGCUGCUCCUACCAGCGCUCUUCUCCUCACACAACAUCUGAUUUCCUUCCCUCGGUGGCCAGCACCCAGCAGCCCCCCCCUUCCCUCCCUGUUCUGCACUGGUGAAUAUCCCUCUGCCUUCCAGGGGCUUCAUAUCCCACGGGGGCCAAGAGCUCUGGAGUCCCCUCAGGUCCAAAUCCAAGCGCUGACCAGAUUCCACCCCUGGUUGCUCGUGCCCGCUCACUGCAGCGAUGGCCAACGUGUCCCCAGGGCCAAACCAGCAGCUCCAGGAUGGGUGACCAAACCCACCCACACCCUCCAUUGCCCCCCCAAUUCCAUAUCCAGCAGCAGGACCUGCCAACAGCCCAGACCCUGCCUGUCUGGAUCCUAUUUUCCCUGCCCAGCCGCAUCCAGCCCGCAGGUCCCAGCUCGCUCCCGAGCCCAGCAGGAGCCGGCGGGGGGGAGCAGGCUGUGCUGCGAGGACGGGGCUGGAACGAGGACGAAGAAGCAAGAACUCGGAGUGCUGGGCCGUGGGAGGUGGCAGGAGUUUGCCCUCACCAAAGGAUGUCAUGUCAGAGAAGAACCGACAGAGGCACCUGCCCCAAACCCCACGGAGGGCGGAACAGACUCCCGGGAUGGAGCAAGAGGCAAACCAAUACCCGAAGCCCAGGCUGGAGGCGCCAGGAAUCCCGGGACGAGGUGGAGCCUGAGGGCGGACGGGAGCAUCCUGCACCUGCCAGCCGGACCCCGGGAGGAUCCAGCUGGACCCUGUACCCAUAAACUGGACUGUGCAUCCAUGAAUUGAACCCCAGGAGCCUCCAGCUGCACCCUACGCACGUUAACUGGACUCUAGACCCGUUAACUGGACUCUAGACCCGUUAACUGGACUCUAGACCCGUUAACUGGACUCUAGACCCUUAACUGGACCCUACAUGCAUGAAUUGGACUCUAGAUGCAUUAACCGGACCCUACACACAUCAGUUGGACCCCAAGAGCCUCCAGCUGGACCCUACACCUAUUAACUGGACUCUAGACCCAUUAACCAGAGCUCAAGAACCACCAGCUGGAUCCUACACCCAUCAAGUGAACCCCAAGAGCCAGCAGGUGGAACCUGCACCCAUCAGUCGGACCCUGCACCCAUCAAACGAACCCCACGAGCCUCCAACUGGACCCUGCACCCAUCGAACAGACCCUACACCCAUCAAAUGGAUCCCAAAAACCUCCAGCUGGACCCUACACCCACCAGUUGGACUCCAGGGCUGCCACCUGACCCUUCUCUCUCAGCUGGACCCCAAGAACUGCUGGCCACCCCCCCCGCUGUCCCCCUGACCCCGAGCAUCCCCACCCAGCCCCCUGAGCCAGCCCUCAGUGCCCCCGGGACCCCGGGAGGCUCCGGGCAGCCCUGCAGCGCUGCCAGCCCGUCCCGCUCAGCCUGGGUGGCCGCGGGGCUCCUUUGGGAAUACACAAAUCUCCCGGCUCCGAAGCCUCGGCUGCCGCUGGGGCACGAGCGUGGCCCUCCCAGGGGGACAGGGACGGAGGGGGCACUGCCAGUGCCCGGGUUCCCUCUGAAGGAAGGGUUUGGAGCGGGGAGGCAGCGAUUCCCGCGCUGCCCUUGGACUCACCUUGGCUCCCUGGAUGCAAACACUAAUUUCCCUCUGAGCAGCGUCUCUCUCUACUCCUGGUAAAUUCCUCCGGUGCUUUUCCCUGCGUUGCCUCUGCCGGCUGCGCACCGCGGCUGACAUGGAGCCACGUGCCGGGAGGAAACCCUCCUUCACCGCCUUUAACUCUGUCCCUCCCUCAAACCCUCAAACACUGCCAGGCUCGGCUUUCCCGGUGGGAAAGGCUUCCCAUCUCCACCCUGCCGGGGGUCCUGGGACCACCUCCAGCACCUGGGGCUGGGGGAAACCACCCGGCCCUCGCUGAGAUCCUGAUAUUGGGAUGGGGGUGUGGGGAGUGAUUUGGGAUCGUGUGCCCAGGGUUGCUCCGGGAUCACCAACCUCACACCGGGUGGUUUGUUCCUGCAGAUUCGAGACUGUGGCACCAAUCCCUCGGGAAGUGCCUCCCUGGAGCGGGGUGGGGAUCCCAUCAGAGCUCUCCCAUCUCUCAUGUCUCUUAAUUCCUUAAGGAGCUCAGCUCUCUGCCCUCUUUGCCGGCUCCUCGCCACCUUCUCCUUUACCUUUUGGGUUUGUGCCGGUGAAAAGGGGGUGGUUUAAUGCGAUUAUUCCGGUAAAACCCCCGUAAGAGGAUUCCCAGGGCUUGGCUUCACAGCCCUGCAGGGGUUAUGGGCAGCAUGUGGAUGGGGAUGAGCUGGAUGUGGGAUAGUGGGAAGCCCGGGAGAGGCUUUGUAAGCUGAGCCAAAGCGUGGUGUCCCUGCGAGGGUGACCCCGGGAUCUGCAGCCCCUGGGGGUGCCACGUGCUGCCUUUCCCUGGGACAGGAUGGACAUUUCCCAUGGUGUGGAUCCUGCUCAUCCUGGAUGGAGGUGGAUGGACGGGGCAGCAGAAACACAGAGAAGAGGGAUGGAGGGCUGGGAGAGCAGGAUUCUUCUGGGAGCUCCCCUCUGGAUGAGAAAAGUAACAUUUCCCCCCAAGGACGUGAACAACCAGAACUCCGUGGUGCACCAGACACGUACAAUGACACGAGUUAUUUUCCUUUUGUGUGCAUAUAUAGUUAAACUAUAGAACAGGAUUCACUGAGUCAAUCCAGUUACUACCUAUUUAAUGGUGUCAUUAUUAAUAUACUAUUCCAAAUUAUUAUUAUAAUAAAAAUCCAAACAUUA